GCUCCUGUAGCUCAAUGGAUAGAGCACAUCGGUUCUAACGAUUAGGUUGGGGGUUCGAGUCCCUCCGGGAGCACCA
rnacentral:tRNA from 1 species